UCGAGAAUUUUUCUCAAUGGGGGUAACCCUGAAGGAGCGACGCCGCGUGGAGGAUGAAGGUCUUCGGAUUGUAAACUCCUGUCAUUAGGGAACAAUGUGCAGCGAUUAACUGUCGCUGCAUUGAUAGUACCUGAAGAGGAAGAGACGGCUAACUCUGUGCCAGCAGCCGCGGUAAUACAGAGGUCUCAAGCGUUGUUCGGAUUCAUUGGGCGUAAAGGGUGCGUAGGUGGCGAGGCAAGUCGGAUGUGAAAUCCCGGGGCUUAACCCCGGAACUGCAUUCGAUACUGCCUUGCUCGAGUACUGGAGAGGAGACUGGAAUUUACGGUGUAGCAGUGAAAUGCGUAGAUAUCGUAAGGAAGACCAGUGGCGAAGGCGAGUCUCUGGACAGUUACUGACACUGAGGCACGAAGGCCAGGGGAGCAAACGGG
rnacentral:rRNA from 1 species